rnacentral:ncRNA from 1 species
GUCCGGUCGUAGGUUGAGCAUGUGGUUUAAUUCGAAGCAACGCGAAGAACCUUACCAGGUCUGGACAUCCUCUGACAAUCCUAGAGAUAGGACGUCCCCUUCGGGGGCAGAGUGACAGGUGGUGCAUGGUUGUCGUCAGCUCGUGUCGUGAGAUGUUGGGUUAAGUCCCGCAACGAGCGCAACCCUUGAUCUUAGUUGCCAGCAUUCAGUUGGGCACUCUAAGGUGACUGCCGGUGACAAACCGGAGGAAGGUGGGGAUGACGUCAAAUCAUCAUGCCCCUUAUGACCUGGGCUACACACGUGCUACAAUGGACAGAACAAAGGGCAGCGAAACCGCGAGGUUAAGCCAAUCCCACAAAUCUGUUCUCAGUUCGGAUCGCAGUCUGCAACUCGACUGCGUGAAGCUGGAAUCGCUAGUAAUCGCGGAUCAGCAUGCCGCGGUGAAUACGUUCCCGGGC